rnacentral:rRNA from 1 species
AAGGAAUAUUGGUCAAUGGAGGCAACUCUGAACCAGCCAUGCCGCGUGCAGGAAGACUGCCCUAUGGGUUGUAAACUGCUUUUAUUCGGGAAUAAACCUAUUUACGUGUAGAUAGCUGAAUGUACCGAAGGAAUAAGGAUCGGCUAACUCCGUGCCAGCAGCCGCGGUAAUACGGAGGAUCCAAGCGUUAUCCGGAUUUAUUGGGUUUAAAGGGUGCGUAGGCGGCCUGUUAAGUCAGGGGUGAAAGACGGUAGCUCAACUAUCGCAGUGCCCUUGAUACUGAUGGGCUUGAAUGGACUAGAGGUAGGCGGAAUGAGACAAGUAGCGGUGAAAUGCAUAGAUAUGUCUCAGAACACCGAUUGCGAAGGCAGCUUACUAUGGUCUUAUUGACGCUGAGGCACGAAAGCGUGGGGAUCAAAC